rnacentral:rRNA from 1 species
CCUACGGGAGGCAGCAGUGAGGAAUAUUGGUCAAUGGACGAGAGUCUGAACCAGCCAAGUAGCGUGAAGGAUGACUGCCCUAUGGGUUGUAACCUUCUUUUAUAAAGGAAUAAAACGAGGCACGUGUGCCUUUUUGCAUGUACUUUAUGAAUAAGGAUCGGCUAACUCCGUGCCAGCAGCCGCGGUAAUACGGAGGAUCCGAGCGUUAUCCGGAUUUAUUGGGUUUAAAGGGAGCGUAGAUGGGUUGUUAAGUCAGUUGUGAAAGUUUGUGGCUCAACCGUAAAAUUGCAAUUGAUACUGGCAGUCUUGAGUACAGUUGAGGUAGGCGGAAUUCGUGGUGUAGCGGUGAAAUGCUUAGAUAUCACGAAGAACCCCGAUUGCGAAGGCAGCUUACUAAACUGUGACUGACAUUGAUGCUCGAAAGUGUGGGUAUCAAACAGGAUUAGAUACCCUGGUAGUC